rnacentral:rRNA from 1 species
UACGAAGGGGGCUAGCGUUGCUCGGAAUCACUGGGCGUAAAGCGCACGUAGGCGGCUUCUUAAGUCAGGGGUGAAAUCCUGGAGCUCAACUCCAGAACUGCCUUUGAUACUGGGAAGCUUCGAGUCCGGAAGAGGUGAGUGGAACUGCGAGUGUAGAGGUGAAAUUCGUAGAUAUUCGCAAGAACACCAGUGGCGAAGGCGGCUCACUGGUCCGGUACUGACGCUGAGACGCGAAAGCGUGGGGAGCGAACAGG